UACAGAGGGGGCAAGCGUUGUUCGGAAUUACUGGGCGUAAAGGGCGCGUAGGCGGCCCGCUAAGUCGAACGUGAAAUCCCCGGGCUCAACCCGGGAACUGCGUCCGAUACUGGUGGGCUCGAAUCCGGGAGAGGGCUGCGGAAUUCCAGGUGUGGCGGUGAAAAUGCGUAGAUAUCUGGAGGAACACCGGUGGCGAAGGCGGCAUCCUGGACCGGCAUUGACGCUGAACGCGAAAAGCUAGGGGAGCAAACGGG
rnacentral:rRNA from 1 species